rnacentral:rRNA from 1 species
AGCAGCCGCGGUAAUUCCAGCUCCAAUAGCGUAUAUUAAAGUUGUUGUAGUUAAAAAGCUCGUAGUUGAAUUUCGGAAUCAGUAUGUUGGUCGUGCUUCGGUACGUACUGUCAUUACUGGUUUCUACCUUCUGAAGAACCUUGAUGUCAUUAAUUUGGUGUCUUGGGGAAUCAGGACUGUUACUUUGAAAAAAUUAGAGUGUUUAAAGCAAGCAUACGCUUGAAUACAUUAGCAUGGAAUAAUGAAAUAGGACGUUUGAUUCUAUUUUGUUGGUUUCUAGGAUCGACGUAAUGAUUAAUAGGGAUAGUUGGGGGCGAUUAGUAUUCAAUUGUCAGAGGUGAAAUUCUUGGAUUUAUUGAAGACUAACUACUGCGAAAGCAUUUGCCAAGGAUGUUUUCAUUAAUCAAGAACGAAAGUUAGGGAUCGAAGACGAUCAGAUACCGUCGUAGU